CAAUGCAGACGUCAGCUUGACAUGCAGUAUUUAUCUUGAUAUGGACACUGCAGAAGUCACGGCAUUCAUAGUUUUUGCUCUUCGUGGAGCAGCGCAGAGGAGUUGUCAAGGAAUUUCCCAGGCAACCACCGGCAGCAGAAAUGCUGUGAUACAAAAUCAGCUUUCCCUUGGGGAUAUGCUGUGAAGCCUGUGAAGACAGACCAAAGGGGGAUUUGCUGUGAAGACAGACACAACAUACUGCAAUGGGGAUGACUGAAGCAAAAGUGGGUGACUGAAGCCUGCUUGAUUGAAGCGGGGUUUAUGGGUCCCCCUCCUCUCCCACUCCCCUCCCCAUUAAUCUCUGUAGCUGGUUGCAUUUCCUAAAGCUUAAGUAAUUCAUGUGAUAUCCCAUUUUUAUAUAUAUAUAUGUUUGCAUUUGGAUGGGAAAUUAGUUUGACAAAUUGUAUGAAUCAAUGGAGUCCUGCACAGUGUAGGCCGGGCCAGGUGCCUAUAUUAGGCUUACUGCUCUAAUAUAUAUUUUUUAUGUCAUGUUUCCCUGUUAUUUCUCAAUAUUUUGACUAUGUUGGCCUAUUUUUAAAUGAUCAAAUACAUGUCUGAUCAACACAUACAAUUCUGAACAUAGUCAUAAUGCUAAAGCAGAGUCACCAAUCAUGGGCCAUGAUGAUGUUAUGUCCUCGUCAGAGCUGUCCAAGCACACGCAAAGACAGCGUAACAGACCGAGGUGGGGAAAAAACUAAGUAGCUGCAAAGAGCCAAGUAUGUUCAUCAAUCACUUUUUUAUUUGUCACGUGUUAUAAACGAGAACUUCACUCUUCAACUCUCAUCUUAUCCCUUAUCUAUAUUAAUAGACUCGAUUUGUGGAUAAAUCCCUAGCUUGUCCAUGCUUAAAGACAAAUGUGUUAAUCUAAUGUAAUAUAAGGCAAGUUAAGAAACAUCUGUAUGAAACAUCUAGUCUUUUUUCAUAAAACAAGCGUAAUGUAAACAGUGAUUAAAAUGGGCGUUCUGAAAUAAAAAUUGGAGAAUGCUCUAGCGUUAUGAUUAGAAAACAUUUUGUAGGAAAACUUCAUGCUUUUCCAUCAUGAUAUAAAACAAGAAAAUAUUUUGUCAUUUUGAACGUUGUGAUAAUCUCUGUUUAAACAGUGCAUUGCAUUUUGUCCUAAAAUAUGUUCUGGGUCAAAGAAGAAUUUAUUUUCUGAGGAAUGUUAGGUGUGUGGUGGGAAUCUUAACAAUAGUUAUGUUUAAUGAAGAGUUUUGACGGCUUGAAUGUUUUUUUUUUUUGUCUAUGGUCCUCUCUGAGCGCUGUAAGCAAGCUGGAAUCACUAAUAACCAUCUUGAUCCCAAACAUAUAAAACAGUUAGCAGAUAAAAGUUCACAGCAUGCCAUGGACACUCAUUAUUUGCUGAGGAAGUGGUGGUGUAGUCUAUGAAGACUAUAGACUCUGUUCUGCAGCAGGGUCUUCCUGUUCUAUGUUGUGUGGGCCUGUGGUCAGGUUUGUAUUUGGGAAGCAGGCUGAGAGGCAAAGCCAAACAGCACUGUCUGAACAAAAUAGAGGCAAACUAGUCCUUGUGCUGUCCACCCCCUUUGUCACUGUGAAGACACACACACAAGGCAGUUCAGUCUUCAGUGUCAAUGACUACAGCAUAAUGGCCUUUAAGUUAUUGAGUUGAGUCCAAAUUGGCAAAUAUAAAGAGAGGUGACAGAAGCCUGUAAGAUCUUAAAUGUAACUAGACUUGCAGUUAUACAGUGCCCCCUUCUGGACAAAACAAAACAUGAGGGGUGGUGCACUAGAAGAAUCACAAUACUAUUGCAUUUGGUAAAAUCAACAGUAUCUCUAUUACUGCUUUCCUUUUCAUAGGAGUUACGGUAUUUAGCCUGUACAUUUGUUUUGGCAAUGUUUAUAUUACCCCCUUACAAACUGACCCAUUUUUACCACAUUCUCAUCUACAUCCACCUUUUAUACCUCCCGUGCACAUGCAGGGAUGCCGUGGACGAGUGGUAGUAGUGGUGGGCAUCUAUUUUAAUAAAUCCAUUGAGAAUAUACACAAUUAAAAAUAAAUAAACAUAAGACUAACACAAUUUGGAGUUUGCCAAAAGGCACCUAAAAGACUCUCAGACCUUGAGAAACAAGAUUCUCUGGUCUGAUGAAACUAAGAUUGAACUCUUUGACCUGAAUGCCAAGCAUCACUGUCUGGAGGCAAUCUGGCACCAUCCCUACGGUGAAGCAUGGUGGUGGCAGCAUCAUGCUGUGGGAAUGUUUUUUAGAGGCAGGGACUGGAAGACUAGUCAGAAUUGAGGGAAAGAUGAAAGGAGCAAAGUACAGAG